AAACCUCUGAGGGCAAAGCUGAGGGGAAGACUGGGGAGCAGGUGCGGAGUCAGAGAGAGUCCUGGAGAUGAAGGGUGCCUGUUGGGGGCCACUUGGACAGUGCGUGGGGAUAGCUGGGACUGUUGGGGCGUGGGCCUGGCCUGUGGGGACUUAAGGACCCCAGGAAGGGCCUGUGCUCUUCCCGCCUUGGCCGGGACUUUGGGGCCUGCAGGAGAGGCCGUGUUCUCAGGCCCCCUCCCUUGGGAGGAGGUGGGCCUGCCCUGCUUGUCCUAGGGGCUGGUCCUGGGGGUCACGUGGCUUCUGCAGAGGUGCGGCCAGCUAGGCGGGUCUACUGGCCUGGCUGUCCCUCCGUCUGCAGGCCCCAGGGCCUGUCUUCACCGUGCAGGAGCUGGGGGUGGGCAGAAGGCAGUGAAGGAGUUGCCCCUCAGUGGGAACAGGCACCAGGUCCACAAAAAACACCUGCACGACAUUCGUAGCAGCUUCCUCGUCACUGCCAGACGCGGGACAGCAGCAGCGUAGCUGGCCCGGCAAACGGAAGACAGGCUGGGGCAUCUUCUCGCCGUGGAGGAUGACGCCACGUGAGAAAGAGCCAGCACCGUGCGCGGAGAAUUAACCCUGUGACAUGAUGAACCCCCAAAACAUCACGCUGAGUGAAAGGGCCAGACACAGAAGGCCGCGGAGUGAGUGACUCAGUUGACGUGCAAGUCCAGGACAGGAACGUCCACAGAGACACCUGCAGGACGCAGCCGCCUGGCCCACCUCCUGCCAGAGUCGCCCCCAUCACACCACCAGGAACAAACCCCCGGCUGACAGGGAUUGCUGCCUCGGAGCCGAGCAGGGAAGAGGAGCGAAGCCAUCUGCUCUCCCUGAUGGGAUGUGAUUCCCCUCCGCCCACGUCCUCCGGCAGCCGCCACACUGGAUAAAUCGUUGCAAAUGGGUUUUCCCGGCCAGUCACUGGGCUGUUUUAAUAACGGUUCAUUUUCUGCCCCGGGGAAAAAAUAUUCCAUCAAGAAAUCGGGGAUAGGGCCGGGUGGAGGAGGGGGG
rnacentral:lncRNA from 1 species